AUAUCCCAUCAGCUAUGUAGUGCAAGGGCCUGCCUGACUUGAUACAAAUUGAAUGGAUUGUUCAGUAACCUUACUCAACAACACCCUUUGAGUCCCUGAGGAAGCUACAACUGUGAAACGCGUUGGUUUAUUCAUCAUCUUCCCUCCUCAUCUAUGUAUUGCAUAUACGUGGAAUAUUUGCUUUAUCUAUUAUUGUGAUUGGUUUAUGAGGGAUGAUGACACUUCAGGGUGGCUGAGAUGUUUGUAUCUUAUCUUUCAUGUAUUUUAGGUGAUUAUUUCCACAGAAACUUUUUAACAAUAAAUUGUAAUAAAAUUCUUGUUUUUAUCAAUA